rnacentral:piRNA from 1 species
UGCUUGUAUCCCAUGAGACCUAUGAUGACC